rnacentral:tRNA from 1 species
UCUCCGGUGGCUCAGAUGGUAAAGCAUCUGCCUACAAUGUGGGAGACCCGGGUUUGAUCCCUGGUUUGGGAA